CUUAUCCCUUUCUCUAUAGUAAAAACAUAUCCACACUUUUUCACUUCUUCGUUCCUCACUUUUUCACACUUCUUCGUUCCAAUUCCCAAUUCUCCACCACCGUCCAAUAGCAAUUCCAAUUCCAGCGCAAGUUAUUCUUCAAUCGAACCAAUAUAAUCGCAAUUCCAAUUAUUCACUCUUCAAACCCUUCAAAACGACAAACCCUUCAAACCUUCAAGCCUCGAAAAACAUUAAUUGUCACACCAGGCGUUUUGCAAAGCUUUUGUUACAUCUAGCAUGCUACUUGCAAGAGUUCAUGUCUACUUCUGGUGUGCCGCCCUUGGUUUAUGAAAAGGCUGCUAAUGCAGUGUACAUCGGUUUUGUGUUUUUGAAGCACUUGAUUGAAAGUGGUAUGCAGUUGUAUCUAUCUUUCGAUGGUGAUGAAGCUGUACUGAAGGAUGUUGAGGGGUAUGUAUUUAAGCGCGUGUUAGAUUUUACUUUUGGGAUCUUUAGAUUAGAAGUUAGAACCAUGAAUUUUGGAGAUUAGAACUAUCUUACUAGGUAUUUAUUGGGACCUCAGUGUAAGAAAGUUAAGGAACUCUAUUAUAGUAUUUAGGAUAUGGAGAUUGUAAUUUGACUAUAAUUGUGAUUGUCAUACAAAUGAAUGUAGUGUGUACUUCCCCUUGUUUGAUCAAAUUAUUUAUUGCUUAUGUAUUCA